UACGAGGGGGACUAGCGUUGUUCGGAUUUACUGGGCGUAAAGCGCGCGUAGGCGGAUCGCUAAGUCAGGGGUGAAAGCCCAGGGCUCAACCCUGGAAUUGCCUUCGAUACUGAAGAUCUCGAGACCGGAAGAGGUAAGUGGAACUGCGAGUGUAGAGGUGAAAUUCGUAGAUAUUCGCAAGAACACCAGUGGCGAAGGCGGCUUACUGGUCCGGUUCUGACGCUGAGGCGCGAAAGCGUGGGGAGCAAACAGG
rnacentral:rRNA from 1 species